CAGAAACAGAAACAAAAGCAGAACACAGCCAACAGUGUGCAGAUGAGAGCAAAUCUGACUCAACCCAAACACGAUGAGGAGGCUGGAAAGGAAACACAGAAAUUUGAAGGCAGUCAGAGAUCCACUUCAGGACCAGCAUCAGAAGGGAAGAAGACCAAAACAUCGAAGCUGUGUGUUAUCCUAUAAAAUGCCACCAGGAUCAAAUUAAUAACCAAUGAGGUGCCAAACUCA